UACAGAGGGAGCUCCAGGACAGCCAGGGC
rnacentral:piRNA from 2 species